UACGUAGGGUGCGAGCGUUAAUCGGAAUUACUGGGCGUAAAGCGUGCGCAGGCGGUUUUGUAAGCCAGAUGUGAAAUCCCCGGGCUUAACCUGGGAAUGGCAUUUGGGACUGCAAGGCUUGAGUGCGGCAGAGGAGACUGGAAUUCCUGGUGUAGCAGUGAAAUGCGUAGAUAUCAGGAGGAAUACCGAUGGCGAAGGCGGCGAUCUGGACAGAUAUUGACGCUGAGGUGCGAAAGCGUGGGGAGCAAACAGG
rnacentral:rRNA from 1 species